AUUGAACGCUGGCGGCAUGCCUUACACAUGCAAGUCGAACGGCAGCACGGGGCAACCUGGUGGCGAGUGGCGAACGGGUGAGUAAUGUAUCGGAACGUGCCAUUGAGUGGGGGAUAACGUAGCGAAAGUUACGCUAAUACCGCAUAUACCCUGAGGGGGAAAGCAGGGGAUCGCAAGACCUUGUGCUCUUUGAGCGGCCGAUAUCAGAUUAGCUAGUUGGUGAGGUAAAGGCUCACCAAGGCGACGAUCUGUAGCGGGUCUGAGAGGAUGAUCCGCCAUACUGGGACUGAGACACGGCCCAGACUCCUACGGGAGGCAGCAGUGGGGAAUUUUGGACAAUGGGCGCAAGCCUGAUCCAGCCAUGCCGCGUGAGUGAAGAAGGCCCUCGGGUUGUAAAGCUCUUUCGGCCGGGAAGAAAUCGUACAGGUUAAUACCCUGUGUGGAUGACGGUACCGGAAUAAGAAGCACCGGCUAACUACGUGCCAGCAGCCGCGGUAAUAC
rnacentral:rRNA from 1 species